rnacentral:rRNA from 1 species
ACUAAAUAGAUACCCAGGUAGUCCACGCCCUAAACGAUGUCUACUAGUUGUUGGUGGAGUAAAAUCCAUGAGUAAACGCAGCUAAACGCGUGAAGUAGACCGCCUGGGGAGUACGGUCGCAAGAUUAAAACUCAAGGAAUUGACGGGGGCCCGCACAAGCGGUGGAUUAUGUGGAUUAAAUUCGAUGCAACGCGAAAAACCUUACCUGGCCUUGACAUGCCACUAACGAAGCAGAGAUGCAUUAGGUGCCCGUAAGGGAAAGUGGACACAGGUGCUGCAUGGCUGUCGUCAGCUCGUGUCGUGAGAUGUUGGGUUAAGUCCCGCAACGAGCGCAACCCUUGCCAUUAAUUGCCAUCAUUUAGUUGGGCACUUUAAUGGGACUGCCGGUGACAAACCGGAGGAAGGUGGGGAUGACGUCAAGUCCUCAUGGCCCUUAUGGCCAGGGCUUCACACGUAAUACAAUGGUCGGUACAGAGAGUUGCCAACCCGCGAGGGGAGCUAAUCUCAGAAAGCCGAUCGUAGUCCGGAUUGUUCUCUGC